rnacentral:lncRNA from 1 species
AAAACUUGACAAAAGCUACUUCACAUGCCAGUACGCUCCACUUACAUUCAAGUCUAACAAACAAAUAAGGUUGCCCUCAUCUCUAUAAGGUGCAUAUGCGGGUGUGUUGCCUCGGUUGAAUUAUCCUUAGAAACUAAGAGUCCCAAAUAUCAAACAAUAAACUUUGUUAACAGGAAAUGCAGUCAGUAGUAAGUUCACUUAGUAUAUGGUUGUCGACCUAGAUUUUCCAAAAUGCUUUGAACCGAUGCAUUUCCCUUGCAAACUAUGCAGACAGAAGAUCAAAUUUGAAAAAUUAAAUAAUUGUUUUUCUGGAAAGGAGAGGUGCAACAAGAGAUCAGUUAAAUUGCAUAAUAAAGACCACCAUUUUGACAUAUCAUGUAAUUCCAUCCUAGACACAAAUCUUGCGACCAGUCUGUCAUGCAUUCCUAAAACAGUAUGCCUCUUCAGCGGUCACAGGUGCACGGCUGGGAACUUUCCCCGAGCGUUUUGUCUGCAAGAGAUGUUCAGAUUACUUCAUCUGUGAAUAGACGGCACACCCAGCUAGUAUUUAAGAACAAAACAAUAAAAUGCCGUUGAAUUCCCAUCAUGUAGAAUAAGGCACUGCCUCCAUGAAACCUGCAAUGACAAGAGCAUGUAAGUUUUCUCGGCGUGGUAUUUGUAAUCCACAUGCCCUAACUACCAAGUUCUCAACUAAGAAUAUAUAUAUAUAUAUAUAUAUAUAUAUAUAUAUAUAUAUAUAUAUAUAUAUAUAUAUAUAUAUAUAUAUAAUACCGCCACCUUAUAAUAUCACCACUGCUAUUCAUAGAUGCUGGUUGGUAGACAAAUAUGAUCUGAAAUGGUUUAUGUCAGAUGAAAGAGCAUAGGGCACUUUUAUUGUGUUUUUAAUAGUGAAACUUCUAUCUCUACAAAAAAUUUCCCUCUGUUUCGUCUACAUGUCGUGGCACAAAAUAUUGUUGCUACUACACAAGCUGAUGAAAAUAGUGUGUACAGAACCCGCGGACAAAGUUGCUCCAUGUGAAAUUCAACACGUGAAAUCCACCCGAGAUGUCGGUCUCUAGGGGUUUCAGUUUGGUUCUGGUGCCAGCCUUCCCCUCCAUUUUGUUUCUUUCUUCUAGUUUUGGGCUUUCUCUUGCUCUCCCCUGUAAUUUUCUUUUGCGCCUUUGGGCGCUUACUUGUAUCUGUACUGACUGCCAAGUCACCUUCGAGUUGGAAUAUAACAAGCGGUGGGUUUUUUUGGGCCCCCGUCAAUCUCGAAAAAAAAACCAAAAAAAUCUACUGAAACCAUAUGCAUAGAUUAUAGUAGUUAUGGUAGCUCAUUUCAUGUCCAACAAAAAUUCAUAUGUGUUCUCUAAAAUAAAAACAUAGGUCUUAAAUAUAAACACAAAGAAAUAGUGUUUUCUUUAAAAGAAAAGGUGUAGAGAAUGAACUAUAUACACUGAAUAGUCAUUACAUGAAUCAGAAGUAGAAGCGGUACUUUAGGACAAAAAACAUAUAUUGUACAACUGGUUCUAUCUGUAUGUAACCAUGCGAAAUUAAGCUCAAUAUACCUCAUUUUCCGCUGAAGUCAAGAUCUAUUGCAGAUCAAUGCGAGCAGCUUCAAUGUCGAACCUUCCAUAUAGAAUGCAGGCCCUUGUCUAUACAAUUGCAGUCAGAGUUGAUUGCAAUAUUGACGCGUAUGUCAUGAGCAGCAAAAUCAUAUGCUCCUGGGUUCUAGCACUUGCCCAACUGAUAUAGUUCAAGCAGGAAAAAAAUAUUCAGUAAACCAAAAUGGAAACCUUUUAGAAAGUAGAGGGGCUCGGUGUUAAGCAAUGGUUUCAGGUAACUAUCGGGUUCAACCAGUACUAUGCUACCUUCUAAUAAACAUGGAAGAUGAUUAAGGUCUCAAUGAGAUAUAAUGAACUGUAGUGUGGUCAGCAGCAAGAGGAACAUUUAAACAUUCAAUGUGCCCAUUGCAAGUGCUCCAAUAAAUGCAAUAAGCAGAACUCAAAUAAAGCAACAUCUCUAGGACUGUAUUCUGGAAAAUAUAAAUAGAAGACCAGGUAAACUUUGCAACAGUCAAUAUACCUUUUAAGAAGAAUCAAUCGGCUAUCAUAAUAUUUUGACGGGCUACGACUAUCAUAUUCAGCAACCAAAAUGAUACAAUAUAUAUCAUAGAAAAAAAAACUACUAAGUGCAGGUGGCAAGAAAAAGAGAGAUAUGAGUGGUCAAACUCUCCUGGAAGCAAAGAGAUCUUGACUUACAAACUCAAGGCACAUAGCAGCAUACCGAAAUUUCUAGCUAGUUGUACUUGCAGGUAGUGAAAAUUAAGCAGGCAAUGUUAGGAGACUCGAAAGAAGGCUUUGGCCAGCCUGUGAUCCGCACAUUAUAUGAUCAUGUGCAGGUUCGUAUUUUACUGUUUAAAUUCUUGAGUCUCUCCUCAUCUUGUUUUGAAAUAGCUC